rnacentral:rRNA from 1 species
GACGAACGCUGGCGGCGUGCCUAAUACAUGCAAGUAGAACGCUGAAGGAGGAGCUUGCUUCUCCGGAUGAGUUGCGAACGGGUGAGUAACGCGUAGGUAACCUGCCUGGUAGCGGGGGAUAACUAUUGGAAACGAUAGCUAAUACCGCAUAAGAGUAGAUGUCGCAUGACAUUUGCUUAAAAGGUGCAACUGCACCACUACCAGAUGGACCUGCGUUGUAUUAGCUAGUUGGUGAGGUAACGGCUCACCAAGGCAACGAUACAUAGCCGACCUGAGAGGGUGAUCGGCCACACUGGGGCUGAGACACGGCCCAGACUCCUACGGGAGGCAGCAGUAGGGAAUCUUCGGCAAUGGACGGAAGUCUGACCGAGCAACGCCGCGUGAGUGAAGAAGGUUUUCGGAUCGUAAAGCUCGGUUGUAAGAGAAGAACGAGUGUGAGAGUGGAAAGUUCACACUGUGACGGUAUCUUACCAGAAAGGGACGGCUAACUACGUG